rnacentral:lncRNA from 1 species
GGAUUGUUGGCUUGCUUUGUUGUUAUAUUAGUUGGCAUAAAAAUACUCAUUCUGGUUGGUUGUGAUCAUUACAUGCUCAUAUCAUAUACAUUAAUGAAACAUUGUUACUACCAUGAAAAUACUAUAAAUACAAAAAAUACUAUUUUUUCUGACAAAAAAUAUGACAUCUUUCAAACCCUCUAUCGAAGGAUGUGCUGAAGAG